rnacentral:rRNA from 1 species
AGCGAACACUGGCGGCAGGCUUAACACAUGCAAGUCGAACGGGCGUAGCAAUACGUCAGUGGCAGACGGGUGAGUAACACGUGGGAACGUACCCUUUGGUUCGGAACAACACAGGGAAACUUGUGCUAAUACCGGAUAAGCCCUUACGGGGAAAGAUUUAUCGCCGAAGGAUCGGCCCGCGUCUGAUUAGCUUGUUGGUGAGGUAAUGGCUCACCAAGGCGACGAUCAGUAGCUGGUCUGAGAGGAUGAUCAGCCACACUGGGACUGAGACACGGCCCAGACUCCUACGGGAGGCAGCAGUGGGGAAUAUUGGACAAU